UAAGACGAACCGUGCGAACGUUGUUCGGAAUCACUGGGCUUAAAGGGCGCGUAGGCGGGCUGCCAAGUCCGUGGUGAAAUCCUCCGGCCCAACCGGAGAACGGCCUCGGAUACUGGCGGCCUGGAGGGGGGUAGGGGCGAGCGGAACUGUGGGUGGAGCGGUGAAAUGCGUUGAUAUCCACAGGAACUCCGGUGGCGAAGGCGGCUCGCUGGACCCCACCUGACGCUGAGGCGCGAAAGCCAGGGGAGCGAACGGGAUUAGAUACCCCGGUAGUCCUGGCCCUAAACGAUGGGGACUAGGUAGUAGCCCGCGCAUGGGGUUACUGCCGGAGCAAAAGUGCUAAGUCCCCCGCCUGGGGAGUAUGGUCGCAAGGCUG
rnacentral:rRNA from 1 species